rnacentral:rRNA from 1 species
GACGAACGCUGGCGGCGUGCUUAACACAUGCAAGUCGAACGGAAAGGCCCUGCUUUUGUGGGGUGCUCGAGUGGCGAACGGGUGAGUAACACGUGAGUAACCUGCCCUUGACUUUGGGAUAACUUCAGGAAACUGGGGCUAAUACCGGAUAGGAGUUCCUGCUGCAUGGUGGGGGUUGGAAAGUUUCGGCGGUUGGGGAUGGACUCGCGGCUUAUCAGCUUGUUGGUGGGGUAGUGGCUUACCGAGGCUUUGACGGGUAGCCGGCCUGAGAGGGUGACCGGCCACAUGGGGACUGAGAUACGGCCCAGACGCAUACGGGAGGCAGCAGUGGGGAAUAUUGCACAAUGGGCGGAAGCCUGAUGCAGCAACGCCGCGUGCGGGAUGACGGCCUUCGGGUGGUAAACCGCUUUCGCCUGUGACGAAGCGUGAGUGACGGUAAUGGGUAAAGAAGCACCGGCUAACUACGU